GAUGUCCAAAACCAUUUCCACCGCCCGCCGGCGCCAAGUUUCAUACUCUGCAACUCCGUUCUUCUUCUUCUCUCUGUGUAUCGUACUAAUAUUCUCCAUAACAUGAGCAAGAACUACCGGAACAUCGAGCGGAGAAUCCUCCGCCUCCUUUCCGGCCACAAAUCCCCAACCCAUCUCACUCAAAUCCACGCCCACUUCCUCCGUCAUGACCUUCACCAAUCCAACCAAAUCCUCGCCCAUUUCAUCUCCAUUUGCGGAGCUUCCAACGAAAUUGCCUAUGCCAAUCGCGUCUUUUCCCAAUCCCAAAAUCCCAACAUUUUCCUUUUCAAUUCCAUGAUCAAAGCCCAUUCCCUUUCCGGCCCCUUCCAACAAUCCCUUCUCCUGUUUUCCUCCAUGAAGAAUCGCAGGAUUGUUCCUGACGAGUACACUUUCGCGCCGCUGCUUAAAUCGUGUUCGAAUCUUUAUGAUUAUCGGCUUGGUAAGUGCGUUAUUGGUGAAGUUUUGCGUCGUGGAUUUGAGUGUUUUGGGUCUAUUCGUAUUGGGGUGGUUGAGUUGUAUGUUUGUUGUGAGAAGAUGGAUGAUGCACAGAAGGUGUUCGAUGAAAUGCCUCGCAGGGAUGUGGUUGUUUGGAACUUGAUGAUUCGUGGGUUUUGCAAGAUGGGUAAUGUUGAUUUGGGGUUAUCUCUCUUUAGGCAAAUGAAUGAUCGUAGCCUCGUUUCUUGGAACACAACUAUUUCCUGUUUAGCUCAAAGUGGGCGUGAUGUUGAAGCUUUGGAACUCUUUCAACAAAUAGAAGAACAUGGUUUUGAACCAGAUGAGGUAACUGUGGUCACAAUGUUGCCUGUAUGCUCUCGUUUGGGAGCUCUUGAUGUUGGACAAAUGAUCCAUUCUUAUGCAACUUCCAAGGCAGAUUUAAUGAAUACAACAAUGGUAGGGAAUUCGCUUAUCGAUUUCUACUGUAAAUCUGGCAAUACAGAAAGAGCUUACAACAUUUUCCAGAAAAUGACUUGCAAAAAUGUUGUUUCAUGGAACACAAUGAUCUUAGGCUUUGCUUUGAAUGGGAAGGGAGAGCUUGCCAUUGACCUUUUCAUGGAGAUGGGACGAGGGGAUGUGAAGCCGAACGACGCGACACUCGUAGCCAUCUUGACUGCUUGUGUUCAUUCAGGAUUGUUAGAGAAGGGUCGAGAGGUGUUUUCUUCAAUGGCUGAGAAGUAUGAGAUUGAGCCAAAACUUGAACAUUUUGGUUGUAUGGUUGAUCUUUUGGGACGUGGUGGAUGCGUGGAGGAGGCUCAUAGCUUGAUUAGAAGUAUGCCAAUGCAGCCAAAUGCCACUUUGUGGGGUGCUUUGCUUGGUGCUUGCAGAACUCAUGGUAACUUGAAACUUGCAGAAAUGGCAGCUAAUGAGCUCAUCAGUCUUGAACCAUCGAACUCUGGUAAUUAUGUGUUGCUAUCUAAUAUAUUGGCUGAAGAAGGACGAUGGAAAGAUGUUGAGAAUGUCCGAUGCUCGAUGAGAGGAAAAAACGUCAAGAAAGCCCCGGGGCGGAGUGCAAGUGGGUAAUCUCGGGGUGAAAAAGUACUCAAACGGAGACCUGCAUUAUUUAACGUACUUCGUUGAUAUGAACCUUUCUUACAACAUGUAGGGAAAGCCCCAAGUCUUCUAGAAUUAUCUUUGACGAGCUUAUCAUAGCUUGAAUACAAGUGACUGUUGUAACUUCUUGGCUCUCGUCCAAUAAUUGAGUCUUGAUGUAUGGAAAUUCAUAAAUAGUGAAAACGUUCUA